rnacentral:rRNA from 1 species
GAUGAACGCUGGCGGCGUGCUUAACACAUGCAAGUCGAACGAACCUUCGGGUUAGUGGCGGACGGGUGAGUAACGCGUGAGAAUCUGCCCUCAGGAGGGGGAUAACGGUUGGAAACGACCGCUAAUACCCCAUAUGCCGAGAGGUGAAAUGAAUUUCGCCUGAGGAUGAGCUCGCGUCUGAUUAGUUAGUUGGUGGGGUAAUGGCCUACCAAGACAUCGAUCAGUAGCUGGUCUGAGAGGAUGAUCAGCCACACUGGGACUGAGACACGGCCCAGACUCCUACGGGAGGCAGCAGUGGGGAAUUUUCCGCAAUGGGCGAAAGCCUGACGGAGCAACGCCGCGUGAGGGAUGAAGGCCUCUGGGCUGUAAACCUCUUUUAUCAAGGAAGAAGAUCUGACGGUACUUGAUGAAUAAGCCACGGCUAAUUCCGUG